rnacentral:rRNA from 1 species
GACGAACGCUGGCGGCGUGCUUAACACAUGCAAGUCGAACGGAAAGGCCCUGCUUUUGUGGGGUGCUCGAGUGGCGAACGGGUGAGUAACAUGUGAGUAACCUGCCCUUGACUUUGGGAUAACUUCAGGAAACUGGGGCUAAUACCGGAUAGGAGCUCCUGCUGCAUGGUGGGGGUUGGAAAGUUUCGGCGGUUGGGGAUGGACUCGCGGCUUAUCAGCUUGUUGGUGGGGUAGUGGCUUACCAAGGCUUUGACGGGUAGCCGGCCUGAGAGGGUGACCGGCCACAUUGGGACUGAGAUACGGCCCAGACUCCUACGGGAGGCAGCAGUGGGGAAUAUUGCACAAUGGGCGGAAGCCUGAUGCAGCAACGCCGCGUGCGGGAUGACGGCCUUCGGGUUGUAAACCGCUUUCGCCUGUGACGAAGCGUGAGUGACGGUAAUGGGUAAAGAAGCACCGGCUAACUACGUG